UACGUAGGGCGCAAGCGUUUAUCCGGAAUUAUUGGGCGUAAAGAGCUCGUAGGCGGUUUGUCGCGUCUGCCGUGAAAGUCCGGGGCUCAACCCCGGGCGUGCGGUGGAUACUGCCGGGCUAGAGGGUGGUAGAGGCGAGUGGAAUUCCCGGUGUAGCGGUGAAAUGCGCAGAUAUCGGGGAGGAACACCAGUAGCGAAGGCGGCUCGCUGGGCCAUUCCUGACGCUGAGACGCGAAAGCUAGGGGAGCGAACAGG
rnacentral:rRNA from 1 species